UCGCUCUCUCUGAAUAUACUUGUUCCCUAUAUUGAUCUCCAUCACUUAACUUUGUCAACUGGCUUUAAUUGCUUUUCAGUUGAUUUUCUUGGAUGGAACAUUC